CCCCAGAUGUUGCUGAACUACAACUCCCAUGAUUCUCUUACAAUCUAUGUAAUUCAAAGAAUCAUGGGAGUUGUAGUUCAGCAACAUCUGGGG
rnacentral:miRNA from 1 species